GACGAACGCUGGCGGCGUGCCUAAUACAUGCAAGUCGAACGCAGUGGGGACGGGUGAGUAACACGUGGGUAACCUCCCAUCAGAGGGGAUAACACUUGGAAACAGGUGCUAAACCGAUACUGAUGGAUGGACCCGCGGUGCAUUAGCUAGUUGGUGAGGUAACGGCUCACCAAGGCCCCGAUGCACAGCCGACCUGAGAGGGUGAGCUGCCACCCUGGGACAGGUACACGGCCCAGACUCCUACGAGAGUCAGCAGGAUGGAAUCUUCGGCAAUGGACGAAAGUCUGACCGAGCAACGCCGCGUAAGUGAAGAAGGUCUUCGGAUCGGAAAACUCUGUUAUUAGGGAAGCGGUACCUAAUCCGAAAGCCACGGCUAAGUACGUGCCAGCAGCCGCGGUAAUUC
rnacentral:rRNA from 1 species